CUAGCACUUUCACAGGUCCUCCCCCAGGCAGUGGGGCCAGGAUUUGGUAGCUGGUGCUGAAAUUGAAAACCCUUGAUUGUAUCCUUGCCCUGGGACUGUGCCAGUGGCAACUGUCACUCAAUGGGACAGAG
ensembl:snoRNA